UGAGUUUUGCAAUCUGGAGGAGCAGC
rnacentral:piRNA from 1 species